UGUAUAGUAGGUAGUUAUCCAAUUGACAGUGCUCCCGUCUGACAUAGUUCAGUCGAUGGCGAACUUAGAGGAUGAUCUGACAUCCCUGACCGCGCUAAAAGACCACCUUGUUCCCCGUUAUUAAUAUUUUCCAUCUCGUUAAUCCGCCAAAUUAGGCCCCGGCUCUAACCGAAAGCCACGAUCGGAUAAACGAAACGUCGAUAAGAAUCACUUCGACCGUCCAAGCCGACUUUAACCCUGACCGUAAUUUAUUUAUAAAAUGUAAAAAAAAUAUAAAAAGGUAUACGCGCGCAGAAACUUCAUUUGCGGUCCCGUCGUAUAGUGCGAGGAAAAGUGUUCCGAGUUAAGUUUCAACGAGGCUAUCAACUGGAAGGAUGUAGUGCAAUAACGAAGGCUUCUUCUAUUUCCUUUUAAGCCGAAUAAACUUUUAGUGAGGAAGACAAAGCAGAGUGGAAACAGUGGGAGAACUUUGACCGGAGAUUUCCUGUAAACUAUCGCUAGGGGGAGUUUAAUUCUCAUGAAUCAUGUAAAUUGGAAGCACUUUACGCGGGGGAUUUUUCUGGUGACAUUCAGUGACGUCACGGUGUCUCGAUUGUCAAGGGAAAUGUCAGUGUCAAGAAUUCAGUAUGGCCACUGAUUUCUGCCCUAAUGGAACCCUAAAGGCAGCGUCCAGCAGGGCCGUAGGCGACAUGAGGCAGCGCAAGACAGCGGCGCUGGGCGCCGCGACGACCCUUGCGCCGGAGGAGGAGCAGCUCAAGUUUCAAGACAGCAGCAGGUUCCUCACGACUCUGGUUCUCGGGAGAAGUAGGAAAAUCUCGCCGGACGUGUUGCCGUCCUGUUCGCCAGGAGUCUUCCGCCAGAAGUCGUUCCGGGCGACGCCGAGCGACGUCAUCGCUACCGUCGCGGCGGCGCCGACGGGACAGCAGCCGAGGAGCGCCGCGGGUACCGGAAACGGCAACUCCGCGACCUCCCCGCCUGCGCAGACCCAAGGCGCAGGGGCGAGCGCGCGCAUCAAGAGCGCCGCCGGGGCAGCUUGGGGCGCCAGAGGCGCCGGUAAACACACGCGUCUCGGCACGGCACUGGCCAACAAAAUGGCGUCAGCGAGCUCCACCGCGGUCGUGCAGGGCUGGCCCAACACCAAGGACGACUACGAGCUCAAAGAGGUCAUCGGUGUUGGAGCAACGGCCGUGGUGCACGCCGCCUUCUGCAUUCCCCGUCAGGAAAAAUGUGCAAUCAAACGUAUCAACCUCGAGAAAUGGAACACAAGCAUGGACGAGUUAUUGAAAGAAAUCCAAGCAAUGUCGUCCUGCAAUCACGAAAACGUAGUAACUUACUAUACAUCAUUCGUUGUAAAAGAAGAAUUGUGGCUGGUCCUCAGACUACUGGAAGGUGGAUCCUUACUUGACAUAAUCAAACAUAAAACUAGAACCACGAAUUGCAAACACGGCGUUUUCGACGAGCCAACCAUUGCGACGGUACUUCGAGAGGUGCUCAAGGGUCUCGAAUAUUUCCAUAGUAAUGGACAAAUACACAGAGAUAUAAAGGCGGGCAACAUACUCCUAGGAGAGGAUGGAACUGUGCAAAUCGCGGACUUUGGCGUCAGCGCGUGGCUGGCGACCGGACGAGAUCUCAGUAGACAAAAAGUUAGGCAUACCUUCGUGGGCACUCCCUGCUGGAUGGCACCAGAGGUCAUGGAGCAGGUAAGAGAGGACCACGGGUAUGACUUCAAGGCUGAUAUUUGGUCGUUGGGCAUCACUGCCAUUGAAAUGGCAAGCGGGACCGCGCCUUAUCACAAGUAUCCCCCGAUGAAGGUGCUUAUGCUCACUUUGCAAAAUGAUCCGCCGACUUUGGACACUGCUGCUGACGACAAAGACCAGUACAAAGCCUAUGGCAAAACAUUCCGGAAGAUGAUAGUCGACUGCUUGCAAAAGGACCCCACGAAAAGGCCGACAGCCACUGAAUUAUUAAAACAUCCCUUCUUCAAAAAGGCCAAGGAUAAGAAGUAUUUACAGCAGACACUGGUGGCCAUCGGACCAAGUUUAGAAACGCGAGUACAAAAGGCAUCAAAAAGACAGCCUGGUACAUCGGGUCGGUUGCAUAGAACUGUAACUGGAGAAUGGGUUUGGUCUUCAGAAGAGGAGGAUAGUGGCGCUUCAAGUGGCGAGGAAAGUAAAGAGACGUUACCGGUUAAUACUAUCGAUAACGGCAGUAGUGAAGAAGAGGCGCCCGAACCCGAAGAUUCUUUCGGCCAAGUCAAAACUGCACGCAGCCAUGUCGUCAUUCAGGCAGCCGAACAGAACGACCCUAUUAACCUAGUCCUUAGACUCCGGAAUCAGAAGCGGGAGCUCAACGACAUCCGGUUCGAGUUCGCGGUUGGCAUCGAUUCCGCAGAAGGAAUCGCUGCAGAACUCGUUGGGGCAGGUCUCGUAGACGGAAAGGAUAUUGUCGUGAUAGCAGCGAAUCUGCAGAAGCUUAUCGAUAGCGGUGGCCAGCUCCGUACGGUGACGUUUUCUCUGAAUUCAGGGUACGCGGCGAACGAAGUUCCGGACGACAAGGCGCUAAUCGGAUUCGCCCAGAUCUCCAUAACCGAUUAAACAUGUCUGGAAGUACGCUAGAAAUCUCAGGAUUUACGUUCUCAAGUGAUACUUAGGAGAAGUGAGAGUUCUUGUUGGAAGCUGUAGGCCCGGUGUCCUUACGACAACGUCGAGUCGAAGUAUUACGAAGUACACUUAGGGUACCCUUCGGCAUACGACGGUCACGGCCACGUCCCGGGAGAGCUAGAAAUCGUACCGCGGACUGAACUCAGUACCUUCGUUUCCUUGACGCCCCCUAAGAGAUAUCGUCAGACCUCGAUAACAAGGCGUGUAUACUGACUACCAUAGGUGAGAAGUCACGAUAAACAUCUGUUUACAACAAAAUUUGGAUAUGAUUAUAUCGGAUAAGUACCCAGGUUUGUAUGUGAUGACGUUCGUCCUCAUCCGAAAAAGAAAAAAUCACAAACGAGUGCACGUCAAUUUCUGUACUGGUUUCAGGCUCUGCUCUCGCUUUGACAGCCGAUCAUCGGCUAGGAAAAAUUCAUGUAAUCGAUUCGCGACAUUUCUCCGUUACGUUACUACUUUCUGUAAAUAUUAGCAUUUUAUUAUGUCGUCCAUUUUGUUCUUGGUUCUUUCUUCUCCUCAAGCGUCGCUAGCGAAGAGCUAGAAAAGAAACGAGAUCUUAAUCAUAUCGAAAUUCGCGUUACCGAGAGAACUAAUGGUGAUUUUACAAUGGUGCUUAUGCAUCCAAUUUACUUAUCUCUGGAAUACCUAGUGCGUUUUAUGUGGCGGAAAAAAUCGGUUGGAGUAAGUUAGGGUAUCCUGUUAUCCGUAGAAUCGUAUAAGAGACGUCGAUGUUAUAGAAGUAUGAUACUCACGUAUCACGAUUUAAUCCCAGUGAAAUGCGAAUUGAUACUUCAGACAAGACCUUGGUACCUAUUUGAGAUAAUUAUAACCAAAAUUCGCUAUAAAAGAACGUUUACCAUUGCUUUGCAAACAGUCAUCGAUAGAUAUCCGUGCAUGAUAAGGUAUUUCAAUAAUUAAUUACUAAAGAUCUUGAAUAUAUUCAAUUAAGCCCCGAGUUCUUUGAACGUACUUGAGAGAAGUGCUUGAGCUUGAUUGUUUUUUCUUUUUCUUUCUUCCCGUUUCUUUCAAACGAACUCGUGGAUCUCGGUACUCAAUUUGAAAAACUUUUAUCGGUUAACGUUCGGGAUUGAACGCAGGUAUACGUACUGAUUCCUAAAAUGAGAUUGCAAGCAUCGUGCAGAAUAGAAUUUCACGCAGAACCAUUCCAAAUAGAUGUCCAGGUCUGACGCUCGAGAUACCUCUUGGUCGUGUCUUUCGUCGAAUAGAACUCACUUUAUCAACUCUUUAGUACAAAGCAUAAAUUAUCGAGUAACCUUCGUGCUUCGUACGCAGACUUUAGGUAUUAGGUAAUUGUUCGGGAGUACUAAUGAAAGAAGGGGAGGAAGGAAAAAAGAAACGAUGUUGUUUUGUACUUAAUCGAAUAGGACGCGCGCGCGCGCAGCGAUAUAUUGUACCUACUCUCAUAUUUUCACGACUUCGCGCGGAGCGGCUAUCGUAGGAGAAUUUUUUAACUUUCCACUCGCCUGGCAUACUUUAAUGAGUAGAACGAACGAGUUUUAGGUCCUUUACUAGGAUUAAGAGAAAAAGAGAAGUCGAUAUAUGUCGAAGCGGAAUUUAAUUUAGCGCGGUUAAGGGGAUGUGAAAGUGGCAU
rnacentral:misc_RNA from 1 species